rnacentral:lncRNA from 1 species
CUAUAACCUCACGUGUAAAUUCUUUCUCUAAUUUAAAUAUCGAAGGUGCAACGAGGACUAGAAAAUCAAUAAGUAUGAUUUUUGGUAGCAUCAGAGCCUAUCACUGCAAUAGAAGAAUCAUGAGUCAGUUUCUAAACUUGAGUCCGAGACAAUACAUGGGGUCAUUUUGGAUGUUAAAUCUUCAAGGAUUGAGUUACAAGAUGAAUCUCAUGGGGGAUUAUUCUAUUACUACAAAGGGAUCUCGCAUUACUUCUAAUCUCUAGGUUUUUCUUUUCUCGCUAAUUUUCUGAGAAUUGGGUAAAAGUAAAAGCUCUAGAGAAGUCCUAGAAUUUCUACGUUGAUACCAUGUUAGAAAAUAUUUUCAUUUAUAUAUUUUACACUGUACAAGACAAUUAUAUAAAAUAGUAGCCGGAUAUAUAGUAGGAAG